GCGGGUGUGGUUCAAUGGCAGAACCUCAGCUUCCCAAGCUGAUGAUGUGGGUUCGAUUCCCAUCACCCGCUCCA
rnacentral:tRNA from 1 species